rnacentral:rRNA from 1 species
AACGAACGCUGGCGGCAGGCUUAACACAUGCAAGUCGAACGAGAUCUUCGGAUCUAGUGGCAGACGGGUGAGGAACACGUGGGAACAUCCCUUUCAGUUCGGAAUAACGUUGGGAAACUAACGCUAAUACCGGAUACGUCCUUCGGGAGAAAGAUUUAUCGCUGAAAGAUUGGCCCGCGUCUGAUUAGCUAGUUGGUGAGGUAAUGGCGCACCAAGGCUACGAUCAGUAGCUGAUCUGAGAGGAUGAUCAGCCACAUUGGGACUGAGACACGGCCCAAACUCCUACGGGAGGCAGCAGUGGAGAAUAUUGGACAAUGGGCGCAAGCCUGAUCCAGCCAUGCCGCGUGAGUGAUGACGGCCUUCGGGUUGUAAAGCUCUUUUGUCCGGGAAGAUAAUGACUGUACCGGAAGAAUAAGCCCCGGCAAACUUCGUGCCAGCCGCCGCGGUAAUAC